rnacentral:rRNA from 1 species
GCCCCGGCUAACUACGUGCCAGCAGCCGCGGUAAUACGUAGGGGGCGAGCGUUGUCCGGAAUUAUUGGGCGUAAAGGGUACGUAGGCGGACUUGAAAGUUUGACGUGAAAGCCCGGGGCUUAACCCCGGCGAGCGUUAAAAACUACAGGCCUUGAGUGGUAGAAGGGAUCGUGGAAUUCCUAGUGUAGCGGUGAAAUGCGCAGAUAUUAGGAAGAAUACCAGAGGCGAAAGCGACUUUCUAGCGAUGAUCUGACGCUGAGGUACGAAAGCGUGGGAAGCAAACAGGAUUAGAUACCCUGGUAGUCCACGCCGUAAACGAUGAGUGUUAGAUGUCCGAGGUAAACUUGGGUGUCGGAAGCCAACGCGAUAAACACUCCGCCUGGGGAGUACGCACGCA